rnacentral:lncRNA from 1 species
GAGCCACAACCUUGUGUGGGGAGUCGUGGUCAGGGCCGUUGGCUUGGGCUUGGGGUCCCGGUCGUCCUCCUCGCCCAUGGAGCCGAGUGCCUGCUGCACUAUAUCAAGCACGAAAAUAAAUAUCAUAUUAUUCCAAAGUCAGACAUCCAAUCAAGUGGCAAAAGAAAUAAAGAAAGAAGAUCACAUGAAGAUUCUAAGCAAAAGAACAACUUAUUUAUAAAAUCCUCCAUUAAUUUAAUCUAGUUUAGUUUUAACCAAGCAGCAACUUGAUCAUGGUUUAGUAUUUAUUUAUCCUGGACCAAACUGGUAGAUUUGAUGAACAAUGGCUGAAUAAGAAAACUACUACUACUACAAGUCCAGUCCCUAGAACCAACAAAUAUUAAGCAUCGAUGGCAUGGGUCUGCAAGGGUCAAAGUAAAGAGCAAUUUCUACUGUACCAGAUUAGACUGUUUACUCAAUAAAUAAACCUGAAUUUUAAUCUAUAAGCAAGCAACAUUGGUAUCGUUCAAUAAAAACCUCAAGAGGAGCAACCCACAAAAAAGAUGCAUUCAGUUUGAUAUAUCAAUGUAAACAGGACAAACAACGCUUAAACAAUGAAAACAAAAGCAAGAAAGAACAAUUGAUGUUGUUGUGGCUUGCAUGUGACUCCAUUUUCGGUUGCGACAGCGACUAGAACAUCUUAGCCAAAGAGGGAUCACAAGUCCAAAACAAAAUAAGAUAACUGCAUUUAAACACAAUUCCUAGUUCCUUACCAAACAACAACAACAAGAUAGUCAGGCCACUUGCAUCGGACCAUAAACUGGCCAUAAUUAAUGCGAUGAUACAGAAAAUGCAGAGGGAGGAGAGUUGUUGUUUAUUACCACCAUUGAUUGUUGUUGCUGUUGUAGUUGAUCAAAAGGGCGACUUGGUUGCUUCCUAAUCUCGAUACUGAUCCAGUUCCAACCGACCUCCUGCCUGGAGCUAGACUAGAGGGAUUCCAACUCUACCUACAAACCAGGCAUAUU